AAAGAUCAAGAAAAAUAUUUCUUCCUGCAACAAACAAAAACAAGAUUUACAAAAACUUCAAAACGAACACAAUUAAUUUCAAUAACCCAUUUAAGAAAUUCGAAUUUCUACAAUAGGGAUAUGAUUAAUCGCCAAGCAAAAUAGCAGAAUCACCGAGAAUGCAACUUGGGCUUCAAAAAGUACCGCUAACCACUAUGAAAAAAAUCCAUCUAAAAAAAAUUAUAGCCAAAUCAAACAAACAACAUGCUCUUCGCAGAUUUUCAAGGAAAAUGAAAAAGACUAUAACAUGAAAUUCCCAUAUUAUUUCUACCUGCAAACGAAAUCAAUGAAGAUGAAACAUGGGUUUCGAGAAUUUUAUUGAAACAAGGCAUCAGACAAUAACACAAAUCUUUUGACCACAAAAUAUUUCAAUAAAACUAAAAUUAAAGGAGAGAGAAAGCUAGCUUACAGAUCGUAGAAAGAAUUGUAUCGAGACGACUCCAGAGAAAGGAAGAGAAUUCAAGAUUUAAGCAAAAGGUUUACGUUUUGCAGCAGUUAGCAAGAAAAGAUUCUCAUUAACAUCUUCCUCUACACUCGAAAGAAUCUGGUCAAGGACUCCGCAAAAAGAAAGAAAAAUUAAGCUAUUUGGUCGUUUCUCCUAAUCCUAG
rnacentral:misc_RNA from 1 species